rfam:Homo sapiens chromosome 6, GRCh38 reference primary assembly.
GCCAGGCGUGGUGGCGCACGCCUGUAAUCCCAGCUACUCAGGAGGCUGAGGCAGGAGAAUCACUUGAGCCCAGGAGGCAGAGGUUGCAGUGAGCCGCCAUUGCGCCAUUGCACUCCAGCCUGGGCAACAGAGGGAGACUCUGGCUCAA